rnacentral:rRNA from 1 species
AUUGAACGCUGGCGGCAGGCCUAACACAUGCAAGUCGAGCGGAUGAAGGGAGCUUGCUUCUGGAUUCAGCGGCGGACGGGUGAGUAAUGCCUAGGAAUCUGCCUGGCAGUGGGGGACAACGUUUCGAAAGGAGCGCUAAUACCGCAUACGUCCUACGGGAGAAAGCAGGGGACCUUCGGGCCUUGCGCUAUCAGAUGAGCCUAGGUCGGAUUAGCUAGUUGGUGAGGUAAUGGCUCACCAAGGCGACGAUCCGUAACUGGUCUGAGAGGAUGAUCAGUCACACUGGAACUGAGACACGGUACAGACUCCUACGGGAGGCAGCAGUGGGGAAUAUUGGACACUGGGCGAAAGCCUGAUCCAGCCAUGCCGCGUGUGUGAAGAAGGUCUUCGGAUUGUAAAGCACUUUAAGUUGGGAGGAAGGGUUGUAGAUUAAUACUCUGCAAUUUUGACGUUACCGACAGAAUAAGCACCGGCUAACUCUGUGCCAGCCGCCGCAGUAA